GUGCCAGCAGCCGCGGUAAUACGGGGGGUGCGAGCGUUGUCCGGAAUCACUGGGCGUAAAGGGCGCGUAGGUGGUUUGAUAAGGCUGUGGUGAAAGCCCGGGGCUCAACCCCGGGUCUGCCGUGGCGACUGUCAGACUGGAGGGCUCGAGAGGCAGACGGAAUUCCGGGUGUAGCGGUGGAAUGCGUAGAGAUCCGGAAGAAGACCGGUGGCGAAGGCGGUCUGCUGGCGAGUACCUGACACUGAGGCGCGACAGCGUGGGGAGCAAACAGGAUUAGAUACCCUCGUAGUCC
rnacentral:rRNA from 1 species